UAUUUAUUGGAGCGUGUGCCAGAAAACAUGCGGCUCUCCAACUCCAUGACUUCAUGGCUAUCCUUGUUUUGAAUAGGGUUUAAGGUGGGGAACAUUAGCCUAGAUUAAAGGAAAAUGUUAAAUUGUAGACAAGUGGCCUGUGAAAGGUGACUUCUCAAGGUGUCAUCUCAAGGUGGCAGCCCUUUGCUUCUCAAAUAUUUGUGGCUGAAUCCUCGGUGGUUAUAUUCCCAGGCCCUCUGGGCUUUGCAGAUGUCCCUCCAUCUCCAGCCCUCCCAUCCCUGCCCUGGCCUUUGUGGAAGCCCGAGGAGGAUGUUGGACCCACAGCUGACAGCUAAGGAGAAGUAACUUGCUUUGGGCAGGAAUGGUACUGAUGUGGUAACUGGAGGUGGUGACAAUGUUGGUGUCACCCUUGAGAGAAGGGGCCCUGCUUCUUGCGCUGCUUCUCAGAGCACUGCAGAGACACUGGGCACCUUGUCAACUGCCAGCACCUGUCACCCCCAGAAGAUUCCUGGUAGAGUCACCGUCUGCAGUGUUACGUGCUCAAGACUCAAGGAAUGCAAAGCAAUAGGCAAAGGAAUGGAAGACAUUAGAAAAGGGUGCUCCUGUUGGCCGGAUGAAGAGCAGAGCGAAAGAGGAAGUCAUUAAAAGGACCCCUUGCGCAAGAAACCCACUUGAGUUGGAGAUGUUUAGACACAUCUCUUCUUGUACAAUGAUUUAAAAAAUGUUUUAAAUGCAGGCCGUCAGUGAGACAUCCAGCUCUUGGUCCUGGCCAGGGACAGUAGAAAGGAUGUCAUCAUGGGAGGGACCCUGGCAAGACCUGCAGAGGCAUCUGGUGUGGCCAGAGGUGAUGUCAGGGGUGCCCGACCCCUUGCCUUUCCCACCAGGGCGCGAGGUGGCAGGAAGGCGGCUUCCCUCCAUGCCGCUUCUCCAGGACACGGAGGACGGCAGCAGCUUCUGGCCUGCGCAUGCCGGGCAGGCACUGUAUGGGGGAUGGGAGGGGAGAUGGGGCCCUUCAAAGCCUGCGAAGCAGAGACUCUUCCAGGUCCAGGAAAACCUGAGCGCAGGUCUAAUUAUCAGCAGAAACCUACACUUAAUAUUAAGAAAUGGAGAGGCCACUCUAGCCGGGAGCAGCAUGGCCCGAAGAUGUCUCCACAUCGUCCCAAGACCCAUUCCUGAAAUCAGAGGUGCUGGGGUGUGUUGAGGAGGAAGGCUCCUGAAGAGGAAAGUGACAGCCUUGGACACACAGCACCCUGCCCUUGUUCCUAACUCAGUUACUUCCUUAACUAUCCUCAGAGCAAAUGCACUCAUUUAAACAAAUGGCAUAGUUAAAACUAUUGACUAAGCCUUAAACAUUUCUUCUGAGAAAUCGAACCAUAGCUUUUCCAAUCUGCCUGUUC